rnacentral:rRNA from 1 species
AUUGAACGCUGGCGGCAGGCCUAACACAUGCAAGUCGAACGGUAACAGGAAGCAGCUUGCUGCUUUGCUGACGAGUGGCGGACGGGUGAGUAAUGUCUGGGAAACUGCCCGAUGGAGGGGGAUAACUACUGGAAACGGUAGCUAAUACCGCAUAACGUCGCAAGACCAAAGAGGGGGACCUUAGGGCCUCUUGCCAUCGGAUGGGCCCAGAUGGGAUUAGCUAGUAGGUGGGGUAACGGCUCACCUAGGCGACGAUCCCUAGCUGGUCUGAGAGGAUGACCAGCCACACUGGAACUGAGACACGGUCCAGACUCCUACGGGAGGCAGCAGUGGGGAAUAUUGCACAAUGGGCGCAAGCCUGAUGCAGCCAUGCCGCGUGUAUGAAGAAGGCCUUCGGGUUGUAAAGUACUUUCAGCGGGGAGGAAGGGAGUAAAGUUAAUACCUUUGCUCAUUGACGUUACCCGCAGAAGAAGCACCGGCUAACUCCGUG